rnacentral:rRNA from 1 species
CGUGAGUGGCGGACGGGUGAGUAACGCGUGGGUAACCUGCCUCAUACAGGGGGAUAACAGUUAGAAAUGACUGCUAAUACCGCAUAAGACCACAGCACCGCAUGGUGCAGGGGUAAAAACUCCGGUGGUAUGAGAUGGACCCGCGUCUGAUUAGGUAGUUGGUGGGGUAACGGCCUACCAAGCCGACGAUCAGUAGCCGACCUGAGAGGGUGACCGGCCACAUUGGGACGGAGACACGGCCCAA